rnacentral:rRNA from 1 species
UACGUAGGGUGCGAGCGUUGUCCGGAAUGAUUGGGCGUAAAGCGUCCGCAGGUGGCUGUGUAAGUCUGCUGUUAAAGAGUGAGGCUCAACCUCAUAAAAGCAGUGGAAACUACACGGCUAGAGUGCGUUCGGGGCAGAGGGAAUUCCUGGUGUAGCGGUGAAAUGCGUAGAUAUCAGGAAGAACACCGGUGGCGAAAGCGCUCUGCUAGGCCGCAACUGACACUGAGGGACGAAAGCUAGGGGAGCGAAUGGG